rnacentral:lncRNA from 1 species
CGUAUUCACUUGUGCUUAUUUUAUAGCUGUAACCUACGUCCAGAAUUAUUAUAUUAAAGAGUUUGGCAACCUAGAACGGCAACGACAACUGCAACGGGAAAAAUAUAAUUGCUUAUAUUGUUGUAUUUGAGCCAAAGUAUACGUUACUACACUUAAUUUGCCUCAUUAAGUAUUCCUGUUUCUUUCAAACGUACCCUUAAAUAAAAAUAGUCCGCGAAUUCAAUAAAACUCUCAAAUAACAUCGAACGAAUGAAUUGUUGCCGUAGUCAUGCACCGUGAAAAUGAUGCAAAUCACGUAUUAGUUUCAACAACUACGGCAUUGCACAACGCUUAAGACCAUGUAAUUUACAUUCGCCUUUGUCUUUGAGGAUUAAUGCUAUUGUUAAUGACCAUAUUGCCGUUGCGGUUGCCCUUGUAUUUGCCAAACUCUCUAUUAUAUUUUGCCAACGGAAAUUUUAACGGAAUCGAUAGUCAUUCGAUAUUUCAUCCCCUGAAACUCAG